UGCUAUGGCCAUGCCACCCUGAAAAAGCCCGAUCUUGUCUGAUCGCAGAAGCUAAGCAGGGUCGGAUGUUCUUAGUACUUGGAUGGGAGACCACCUAGCAAGACCAGGUGCUGUAGGUG
rnacentral:rRNA from 1 species